rnacentral:rRNA from 1 species
CGUUGGCGGUGCGCCUUAUGCAUGCAAGUCGAACGGGGUUACGGUUUUCGGAUUGUAACCUAGUGGCGAACGGCUGAGUAACACGUAAGCAACCUACCUUGGAGUGGGAAAUAACCUGUCGAAAGGCAGACUAAUGUCCCAUGUGGUAACGAAGCGCAUGCUUUGUUACUAAAGCCUUCGGGUGCUACGAGAGGGGCUUGCGUCCGAUUAGCUUGUUGGUGGGGUAACGGCCUACCAAGGCAGUGAUCGGUAGCUGGUCUGAGAGGAUGGUCAGCCAGAUGGGGACUGAGACACGGCCCCAACUCCUACGGGAGGCAGCAGCAAGGAAUCUUGGGCAAUGGGCGGAAGCUUGACCCAGCGACACCGCGUGAGGGAUGAAGGCCUUCGGGUUGUAAACCUCUUUUCUUGGGGAAGAAUUAUGACGGUACCCAAGGAAUAAGCCUCGGCCAACUACGUGCCAGCAGCCGCGGUAAUACGUAGGAGGCGAACGUUAUUCGGAUUUACUGGGCGUAAAGGGAGCGUAGGCGGCUCGUUAAGUCAUGCGUAAAAUCUUCCGACUUAAUCGGAAGGGGCCGUGUGGAUACUGGCGGGCUUGAGAGCAACAGAGGGAAAUGGAAUCCCCAGUGUAGCGGUGAAAUGCGUAGAUAUUGGGGAGAACACCCAGUGGCGAAGGCGAUUUUCCAGGUUGUUUCUGACGCUGAGGCUCGAAAGCGUGGGGGAGCGAAGCGGAUUAGAUACCCGCGUAGUCCACGCCCUAAACGGUGGNACACUAGAUAUGGGAGGUAUCGNACCCCUUCCGUGUCGAAGCUNACGCUUUAAGUGUCCCGCCUGGGGAGUA